rnacentral:lncRNA from 1 species
AGGAUUUUUGGAGGGAAAAGCAAUAUUACACAAGAAAACCACAUUUUCUCUUGUUUGUUACCAAAAUAUCUAGAGAAGCCAUAUCCACCUGCCUUUUUGUGGCUAACAGGGGUCUGAGCCCAUAAACUGACUGAGGAACAAAUCUUGUCCGUCGGGGGAGAAAACCAGUCAGCUGGGGGUUAAGUGGAUGGGAGGGUGGAGACGCCUCAGGAAAAACCUGCCAGAGCUGUAAAGGGUCAGAGCUUCAAACGGGAGUGAAAAAGCAGGGGGAAGUUAGAACUGAGCUCUCUUGCUUUCAAAUUCAAAAAUUUUCAGAUUUGCUUCAAACGUAUACUUAAGAACUCUAGGGGCCAGCCCUGUGGCCCGGUGGCCGAGUGGUUAAGUUCACACGCUCCGCUUAGAUGGCCCACGGUUUUGCCAGUUUGGAUCCUGGGCACGGACCUAGCACCACUCGUCAGGCCAUGCUGAGGUGGCGUCCCACAUAGCACAACUAGAAGGACCUACAACGAAGAUAUACAACUACAUACUAGGGGGCUUUGGGGAGAAAAAGAAGAAGAAAAAAAGAGAUUGGCAACAGAUGUUAGCUCAUGGCCAAUCUUAAAAAAAAACACCUCUAAUCCGUAAAAAUCUCCAUCCUUGAACUGGAAGAACAGGACACUGGAUCCCUCUUUCUCCUGGAUCAUCUUCUCUCCUGGAUCACCUUCUCUCCUGGAUCACCCUCUCUCCUGGAUCGCCCUCUGUCCUGGAUCACCCUCUCUCCUGGAUCAUCUUCUCUCCUGGAUCACCCACUCUCCUGGAUCACCCUCUCUCCUGGAUCACCUUCUCUCCUGGAUCACCUUCUCUCCUGGAUCACCCUCUCUCCUGGAUCGCCCUCUCUCCUGGAUCACCCUCUCUCCUGGAUCAUCUUCUCUCCUGGAUCACCCACUCUCCUGGAUCACCCUCUCUCCUGGAUCAUCUUCUCUCCUGGAUCACCCUCUCUCCUGGAUCACUCUCUCUCCUGGAUCACCCUCUCUCCUGAAUUACCCUCUCUCCUGGAUCACCCUCUCUCCUGGAU